CGGCGUAAAGAGUGGUUAAGAAAAUAAAAAAAUAGGGCCGAAUAGUCUCAUUGCAGUUAUACGUUUACGAGAUCACUAAGUACAUUCACGAAAGUAGCCUUAGCAAAGUUCUGACUCCACGAGAGCCAUAAGACAAACUGGGAUUAGAUACCCCACUAUGUAUGGUUGUAAAAUUUGAUGGCUUGACACUCAAACCAUUCGCCAGGGAAUUACGAGCAUGAGCUUAAAAUCCAAAGGACUUGGCGGUGUUUUAGACCCCCCUAGAGGAGCCUGUUCUAUAACUGAUAAUCCUCGUUAAACCUCACCACCCUUAGUUCCCAUAAGCCGUCUAUAUACCGCCGUCGCAAGCUUACCCUUUGAAGGAUUAAUAGUAAGCAAAAUUGGUAAUACCAAAAACGUCAGGUCGAGGUGUAGCAAAUGGGGUGGGAAGAAAUGGGCUACAUUCUCUGCAGAAGAGUAUUACGAAUGGUGGUUUGAAAUAGGCCACACAGAAGGUGGAUUUAGUAGUAAGUAGGGAAUAGAGUGCCUUACUGAAAAUGGCUCUAAAACGCGUACAUACCGCCCGUCAUUCUCUCUUAAUAUCUUUUAAAAUUUUACUUAAAGUGUUAUUCUACAAUAAGGGGAGACAAGUCGUAACAUGGUAAGCGUACCGGAA
rnacentral:rRNA from 1 species